rnacentral:rRNA from 1 species
UACGUAGGGAGCAAGCGUUGUUCGGAUUUACUGGGCGUAAAGGGCGCGUAGGCGGUCAGCACAAGUCAGUUGUGAAAUCUCCGGGCUUAACUCGGAAAGGUCAACUGAUACUGUGCGACUAGAGUGCGGAAGGGGCAACUGGAAUUCUCGGUGUAGCGGUGAAAUGCGUAGAUAUCGAGAGGAACACCUGCGGCGAAGGCGGGUUGCUGGGCCGACACUGACUGAUGCGCGAAACCAGGGG